CUUGACGCUGGCGGCAGGCCUAACACAUGCAAGUCGAACGAGUGGCGGACGGGUGAGUAAUGUCUGGGAAACUGCCUGAUGGAGGGGGAUAACGUCUGGAAACGGUCGCUAAUACCGCAUACUAUCAGAUGAGCCCAGGUGGGAUUAGCUAGUUGGUGGGGUAACGGCCUACCAAGGCGACGAUCCGUAACUGGUCUGAGAGGAUGAUCAGACACACUGGAACUGAGACACGGUCCAGACGCCUACGGGAGGCAGCAGUGGGGAAUAUUGGACAAUGGGCGAAAGCCUGAUCCAGCCAUGCCGCGUGUAUGAAGAAGGCCUUCGGGUUGUAAAGUACUUUCAGCGGGGAGGCGUUACCCGCAGAAGAAGCACCGGCUAACUCCGUGCCAGCAGCCGCGGUAAUAC
rnacentral:rRNA from 1 species